rnacentral:rRNA from 1 species
GAUGAACGCUGGCGGCGUGCCUAAUACAUGCAAGUCGAGCGAACGGACGAGAAGCUUGCUUCUCUGAUGUUAGCGGCGGACGGGUGAGUAACACGUGGAUAACCUACCUAUAAGACUGGGAUAACUUCGGGAAACCGGAGCUAAUACCGGAUAAUAUUUUGAACCGCAUGGUUCAGAAGUGAAAGACGGUCUUGCUGUCACUUAUAGAUGGAUCCGCGCUGCAUUAGCUAGUUGGUAAGGUAACGGCUUACCAAGGCAACGAUGCAUAGCCGACCUGAGAGGGUGAUCGGCCACACUGGAACUGAGACACGGUCCAGACUCCUUCGGGAGGCAGCAGUAGGGAAUCUUCCGCAAUGGGCGAAAGCCUGACGGAGCAACGCCGCGUGAGUGAUGAAGGUCUUCGGAUCGUAAAACUCUGUUAUUAGGGAAGAACAUAUGUGUAAGUAACUGUGCACAUCUUGACGGUACCUAAUCAGAAAGCCACGGCUAACUACGUG